rnacentral:rRNA from 1 species
AACGAACGCUGGCGGCAGGCCUAACACAUGCAAGUCGAACGCAUCCUUCGGGGUGAGUGGCGCACGGGUGAGUAACACGUGGGAAUGUGCCCUUUGGUUCGGAAUAACGUCUGGAAACGGACGCUAAUACCGGAUGUCCCCUGCGGGGGAAAGAUUUAUCGCCAAAGGAGCAGCCCGCGUCUGAUUAGGUAGUUGGUGGGGUAAAGGCCUACCAAGCCGACGAUCAGUAGCUGGUCUGAGAGGAUGAUCAGCCACACUGGGACUGAGACACGGCCCAGACUCCUACGGGAGGCAGCAGUGGGGAAUAUUGGACAAUGGGCGCAAGCCUGAUCCAGCCAUGCCGCGUGAGUGAUGAAGGCCUUCGGGUUGUAAAGCUCUUUCGCACACGACGAUGAUGACGGUAGUGUGAGAAGAAGCCCCGGCUAACUUCGUGCCAGCCGCCGCGGUAAUAC